GGGCUAAUAGCUCAUUUGGUAGAGCGUUCGCUUUGCAUUGUAUCCUCUGGAUCGCCAGCCUGCGAAAGGUACAGGGUUCGAUUCCCUGUUAGUCCA
rfam:Microdochium bolleyi strain J235TASD1 unplaced genomic scaffold Micbo1qcscaffold_5, whole genome shotgun sequence.